UGCCAGAACAAGGAGUUUGUUCCCUGAACC
rnacentral:piRNA from 1 species